GUGCUAUGAGAACAGGUUCAGAACGCAGGUGACCUGAACCUGUGAACGCCACCCUGUGAAUGCUGUCUGCUGGAAAUCAGUUUUCUUCAACAUGAACUGUACUCCCUCUUUUCAUUUUGUAGAGGGGACAGAUUCUGCAUUAUCUCGAGACUGGCGGCCAGGGAGCCCUGGAACCUAUCUGGAGACCUCAUGGGAAGAACAGCUGUUGGAACAACAAGAAUAUUUAGAAAAAGAAAUGGAGGAAGCAAAGAAAAUGAUAUCAGGACUACAGGCCUUACUGCUCAACGGAUCCUUACCUGAAGAUGAACAGGAGAGGCCCUUGGCCCUCUGUGAACCAGGUGUCAAUCCCGAGGAACAACUGAUUAUAAUCCAAAGUCGUCUGGAUCAGAGUAUGGAGGAGAAUCAGGACUUAAAGAAGGAACUGCUGAAAUGUAAACAAGAAGCCAGAAACUUACAGGGGAUAAAGGAUGCCUUGCAGCAGAGAUUGACUCAGCAGGACACAUCUGUUCUUCAGCUCAAACAAGAGCUACUGAGGGCAAAUAUGGACAAAGAUGAGCUGCACAACCAGAAUGUGGAUCUGCAGAGGAAGCUAGAUGAGAGGAACCGGCUCUUGGGAGAAUAUAAAAAAGAGCUGGGGCAGAAGGAUCGCCUUCUUCAGCAGCACCAGGCCAAGUUAGAAGAAGCACUCCGGAAACUCUCUGAUGUCAGUUACCACCAGGUCAGAACAUAUUCAGCCACUGACCUUCCUGCCUCUUUGGCCCAAAGAAAUCCUUUUCUGAUUUAGUGUCUGUUUUGCAGGUGGAUCUAGAGCGAGAGCUAGAACACAAAGAUGUCCUCUUGGCUCACUGUAUGAAAAGAGAGGCAGAUGAGGCGACCAACUACAACAGUCACAACUCUCAAAGCAAUGGUUUUCUCCUUCCAACGGCAGGAAAAGGAGCUGCUUCAAUCAGCAACAGAGGGACCAGCGACCUGCAGCUUGUUCGAGAUGCUCUCCGCAGCCUGCGCAACAGCUUCAGUGGCCACGAUCCUCAGCACCACACUAUUGACAGCUUGGAGCAGGGCAUUUCUAGCCUCAUGGAGCGCCUGCAUGUUAUGGAGACACAGAAGAAACAAGAAAGAAAGGUUCGGGUCAAGUCACCCAGAACUCAAGUAGGUAGUGAAUACCGGGAGUCCUGGCCCCCUAACUCAAAGUUGCCUCACUCACAGAGCUCUCCAACUGUCAGCAGCACCUGUACUAAAGUGCUCUAUUUCACUGACCGGUCACUUACGCCCUUCAUGGUCAAUAUACCAAAGAGGUUGGAGGAGGUGACGUUAAAGGAUUUUAAAGCAGCUAUUGAUCGGGAAGGAAAUCACCGGUAUCACUUCAAAGCACUGGAUCCUGAGUUUGGCACUGUCAAAGAGGAGAUUUUCCAUGAUGAUGAUGCCAUCCCUGGAUGGGAAGGGAAAAUUGUAGCUUGGGUGGAAGAAGACCAUGGAGAGAAUUAAUGCCAAGUAUCAGAUUGAGGGCUUAUGGAACCUGGUCACUCCCUGGCUGCUUCACUCAGGAAAGGGAACUAAAACCAGAAUACACUAAGAAGUUUCUAGUUUGUAUGCCAAAACAGAAGCUUCUCCAAGCAUGAUGGCUACAGGUCAGUCCUAUUUCUGUGCCUGGCAUAUCUGGUACUUAAAAUUCUGUCCAAAUGUAGACCAUGGGUUCAUCUGGAGUUCCUUGUCCGUGGGAACACAGUGUUCUAUUCUACUCUGAGGACAACAAACCGAAGGCCUUAAACGAUGGGGAUGGAUGAUCCCGCCUCUGUAGGGGCAUGGCUGCUAUUAUCUGGAAACUAGGAAUUGGAUGCAUCAUUCCUGUGUGUUACAGUAUUAUUUUAAUUGGCCUCAAUGGUUGCAGCAAUCAGAGUCCCAGCGUUUGUACUCACAGACAAGGCAAAGGUACCAGCUUUUCUGUUUCUUUGAACCUACUGCAAACCAAGAAUAACUCAUGAGGUGGUACCAAAGAUGAAAGCCCAGUCUUCAGUAAUCUUUUGAACCAGACGUGGAUGGUGCUGAAUUGUUGCUUGGAUGGAAAAAGGGCUGCCCAUGUUGUGCUACACUAUGCUAAAACUGUAAUUUAGUAAGACCUUGGGCUGCCUCUUCUGUCUUAACUGGUUCUGCAGCUUGUCCUUUUGCCCACAUAGGGCCUAUUUCAUGUACUGUUAGUUUUCUCUGGGGACUCUUUAACUUUAGAGCCAUUUCUUUUUCUUCAAACUGAUGAACUUUUGUUUGAAAGGCAUAAGGAGUGAAAAGCUCCUUGAAAAUCCAGGCGGGUAUGGAAAGGUGCUGCUACCCAUAUCUUUUUGACUUUCUUUGUUUCAUGACUUUAACUCAUGGCAUCUCCUUUGUAGUAAAAGGAGACAGACCAUUAAUUUCAGCAUUUCUUUGUGAUUUAUAAGUACUGAGCAUGAAGUACUUGUCUGCCCCUCAUUUCAAGGCCAGAGUUAUUUUCUAUUUAUGUAUUAGUCUAGGCUGAUCCUUUAGGGCACAAUAGAAACCAUGGGGCGUGGAGCAUGAGUUGUGAAUGGCAGGGAUCAUUCUGGGUAAAAAAAACCUAGAAUCAUUUCUGAUGUGCAACAUUGUCAAGUGAAGAAGCUAACAGUUCAACUACCGAGAUUAUUUGAUAACCUGGGUUUUCUCAUUCAUCCAUCAAGCACCAUCAACCAGUCGGCCAUUAUUAUUUAUAUAUGUAUUACCAAAAGCAGUCUAUCCGCCUGUGACCUCCAAUGUACACUGCCAAACACAAGAGUAGGACACAUCUGUUCUGGGUUCUUGACCUAUCUGUCUCCAAUUCAUCUCCCCUUUUCAGCCAUUUCAACAAACUACUCUUUGGAGCUCUGAGAUGACAUCUUGUUGUUUUAUAUAGAUGUAUCUUUUUAAAAUAGUUCACGUUUGGAGAAUUCUUUUGUACUCAUUUGCUUUUUGUCUGAGAACCAUGUCUAUUUUUAUAACUGGAGUGUGAGUUCUCUAUCUUCUCACAUUCUGUAUACUGUAUCCAUUUUCUAGAGAACCCAGUAGCUUUUAUACAGUCUCUUCUUACCACCCCUUGUGGUUUCAGAACAAGCUUUAUUUUAUUACGAGUAUAUUAAUGACAACUAAUUCCUGUUCCAAUUCUACCUGUUUUAGUUGUGAAGGUAGUUUUGUGUAAUCCAGUUGAUUGCUCCUCUGGCAGAGAGAAGGAGCUCAAAAGAUACUUGAUGUCUUUCAUGUAAGUUUACCUGGUCUUUUCCUAUUGAAGAAUUUUUCAUCAGAAACGACUGGGAAAGUUUGGGAAAGUCAGCAAAAGAAAGAAUGCAUUUCGAAAGCAAACAGAAGAAAAAAGUAUAUUCUCACAGUUUUUCCCCAGGAAGUCUGGAGAAAAAGUCCUCAUGUCACCAGUUUCUCUGUUGCAUGAAUUUUAGUGUUUUGCUAUAAGACAGCAUGAGGGCUAUCAGGCCAAAAUUCAUUAUUGUAUUUCCAAUACAGUUUGUCUUG
rnacentral:sRNA from 1 species